rnacentral:rRNA from 1 species
CUACGGGUUACUGCAGUGGGGAAUAUUGCACAAUGGAGGAAACUCUGAUGCAGCAACGCCGCGUGGAGGAUGACACUUUUCGGAGCGUAAACUCCUUUUAUAUAGGAAGAAGAUGACGGUACUAUAUGAAUAAGCGCCGGCUAACUCCGUGCCAGCAGCCGCGGUAAUACGGAGGGCGCAAGCGUUACUCGGAAUCACUGGGCGUAAAGAGCGUGUAGGCGGAUUAAAAAGUCAGAAGUGAAAUCCUAUAGCUUAACUAUAGAACUGCUUCUGAAACUCUUAAUCUAGAAUAUGGGAGAGGUAGAUGGAAUUUCUGGUGUAGGGGUAAAAUCCGUAGAGAUCAGAAGGAAUACCGAUUGCGAAGGCGGUCUACUAGAACAUUAUUGACGCUGAGACGCGAAAGCGUGGGGAGCAAACAGGAUUAGAUACCCUUGUAGUC